rnacentral:rRNA from 1 species
GACGAACUCUGGCGGCGUGCUUAACACAUGCAAGUCGAACGGUAAGGCUCCAGCUUGCUGGGGUACACGAGUGGCGAACGGGUGAGUAACACGUGGGUGACCUGCCCUGCACUUCGGGGUAAGCCUGGGAAACUGGGUCUAAUACCGGAUAGGACCGCACCGUGAGGGUGUGGUGGAAAGUUUUUUCGGUGUGGGAUGGGCCCGCGGCCUAUCAGCUUGUUGGUGGGGUAAUGGCCUACCAAGGCGGCGACGGGUAGCCGGCCUGAGAGGGUGGACGGCCACAUUGGGACUGAGACACGGCCCAGACUCCUACGGGAGGCAGCAGUGGGGAAUAUUGCACAAUGGGCGGAAGCCUGAUGCAGCGACGCCGCGUGGGGGAUGACGGCCUUCGGGUUGUAAACUCCUUUCACCAUCGACGAAGGGUUUCUGACGGUAGAUGGAGAAGAAGCACCGGCUAACUACGUGCCAGCAGCCGCGGUAAUACGUAGGGUGCGAGCGUUGUCCGGAAUUACUGGGCGUAAAGAGCUCGUAGGUGGUUUGUCGCGUCGUCUGUGAAAUUCCGGGGCUUAACUCCGGGCGUGCAGGCGAUACGGGCAUAACUUGAGUACUGUAGGGGAGACUGGAAUUCCUGGUGUAGCGGUGAAAUGCGCAGAUAUCAGGAGGAACACCGGUGGCGAAGGCGGGUCUCUGGGCAGUAACUGACGCUGAGGAGCGAAAGCAUGGGGAGCGAACAGGAUUAGAUACCCUGGUAGUCCAUGCCGUAAACGGUGGGCGCUAGGUGUGGGUUUCCUUCCACGGGAUCCGUGCCGUAGCUAACGCAUUAAGCGCCCCGCCUGGGGAGUACGGCCGCAAGGCUAAAACUCAAAGGAAUUGACGGGGGCCCGCACAAGCGGCGGAGCAUGUGGAUUAAUUCGAUGCAACGCGAAGAACCUUACCUGGGCUUGACAUAUACAGGAUCGCGCCAGAGAUGGUGUUUCCCUUGUGGCUUGUAUACAGGUGGUGCAUGGUUGUCGUCAGCUCGUGUCGUGAGAUGUUGGGUUAAGUCCCGCAACGAGCGCAACCCUUGUCUUAUGUUGCCAGCACGUUGUGGUGGGGACUCGUAAGAAACUGCCGGGGUUAACUCGGAGGAAGGUGGGGAUGACGUCAAAUCAUCAUGCCCCUUAUGCCCAGGGCUUCACACAUGCUACAAUGGUCGGUACAGUGGGUUGCCAGUCCGUGAGGGCGAGCUAAUCCCGCAAAGCCGGUCUCAGUUCGGAUCGGGGUCUGCAACUCGACCCCGCGAAGUCGGAGUCGCUAGUAAUCGCAGAUCAGCAACGCUGCGGUGAAUACGUUCCCGGGCCU